CGAAAGCCUGACGGAGCAAUACCGCGUGAGGGAGGAAGGCUCUUGGGUUGUAAACCUCUUUUCUCAGGGAAGAACAAAAUGACGGUACCUGAGGAAUCAGCAUCGGCUAACUCCGUGCCAGCAGCCGCGGUAAUACGGAGGAUGCAAGCGUUAUCCGGAAUGAUUGGGCGUAAAGCGUCCGCAGGUGGCUUAUCAAGUCGAUUGUCAAAGGUCCUGGCUCAACUGGGAACAGGCAGUGGAAACUGAAAAGCUAGAGUGCGGUAGGGGUAGAGGGAAUUCCCGGUGUAGCGGUGAAAUGCGUAGAUAUCGGGAAGAACACCAGUGGCGAAAGCGCUCUACUAGGCCUGCACUGACACUCAUGGACGAAAGCUAGGGGAGCG
rnacentral:rRNA from 1 species